rnacentral:rRNA from 1 species
AAAUUUAUUUAAGGUUUAACCUGCCCAGUGAUUUAUUAAAUGGCCGCAGUAUUUUGACUGUGCGAAGGUAGCAUAAUCAUUAGUUUUUUAAUUGAAAGCUUGUAUGAAUGGUUGGACGAGAUAAAUACUGUCUCUUUUUAAUUUAUAGAAUUUAAUUUUUUAGUAAAAAAGCUAAAAUUAAAUUAAAAGACGAGAAGACCCUUUAAAGCUUUAUAUAGUUUAUUUAUUAUAAUUUUUAAGAUUUUUUUGAUUUUUAAUUUUGAAUUGUAUUUGGUUGGGGAAAUUAAAAGAUUUGUUUAAUUCUUUUUUAUUUUUACAAUGAUAUUUGAUUAAUUGAUCCAUUUUUAUUGAUUGAAAGAUUAAGUUACUUAAGGGAUAACAGCGUAAUUCUUUUGGAAAGUUCAUAUUUAUAGAAGAGUUUGCGACCUCGAUGUUGGAUUAAAAUUUAAUUUGGGUGUAGAAGUUCAAUAUUUUUGGUCUGUUCGACCAUUAAAAUUUUACGU